AGCAGCCGCGGUAAUUCCAGCUCCAAUAGCGUAUAUUAAAGUUGUUGCAGUUAAAAAGCUCGUAGUUGAAUUUCGGGAUCAGUUGGUCGGUCGUGCCUCGGUACGUACUGGUCAAAUUGAUUCCUACCUUCUGACGAACCACGAUGUCAUUAAUUUGGUGUCGCGGGAAAUCAGGACUGUUACUUUGAAAAAUUAGAGUGUUUAAAGCAGGCUCGCGCUUGAAUACAUUAGCAUGGAAUAAUGAAAUAGGACGUUUGAUUCUAUUUUGUUGGUUUCUAGGAUCGACGUAAUGAUUAAUAGGGAUAGUUGGGGGCAUUAGUAUUCAAUUGUCAGAGGUGAAAUUCUUGGAUUUAUUGAAGACUAACUACUGCGAAAGCAUUUGCCAAGGAUGUUUCAUUAAUCAAGAACGAAAGUUAGGGGAUCGAAGACGAUCAGAUACCGUCGUAGUCUUAACCAUAAACUAUGCCGACUAGGGAUCGGAUGAUGUUAAUUUUUAAUGUACUCAUUCGGCGCCUUACGG
rnacentral:misc_RNA from 1 species